CUGGUCUAUAGUAGUACCACUAUAUAGGGAAUAGGGCUCUGGUCUAUAGUAGUACCACUAUAUAGGGAAUAGGGCUCUGGUCUAUAGUUGUACCACUAUAUAGGGGAUAAUAGGGUGCCAUUUUUCAUGCACACUUCGAUCCCAGUUUCAUUGAGACAGCCCCAACCACUUAAAUCCAUUGUGUUCAUAGAUAAAGCUCUGGUUUAAUUUAGUUUAGGAAAGGGAUCUUUUUAAAUCUGAUUGCCAAAUAAGGUGAUUUGUAUUUUGCGAUCUGAACAUGUACCCGCAGACAGAGAACCGUGUUGUUUUCAGACGGUCUCUUCUGUAGAUACCAUGUACCCGCAGACAGAGAACAGUGUUGUUUUCAGACGGUCUCUUCUGUAGAUACCAAGCCCUGCAGACAGAGAACAGUGUUGUUUUCAGACGGUCUCUUCUGUAGAUACCAUGUCGCGUGAGUCAUGUAGAACUUGUAUAAGCCUGUUUGGGGAACCCUGGGUUAGGGGCAGAACUUGUGUGUCGACAGUGAACAUACUUUAAUGGGUUGGGACAAGCGUUGAUCAUUUGAGUCAGCUGUGUAGUGCUCGGGGCAACAAAACCAAAUAAACCUGUGGACCGAGUUUGGAAAACCCUGGGUUGGGGGCAGAACUUGUGUGUAGAGAGUGAACAUACUUUAAUUGGCAGUACAUGAUAUAUAUUUUAAGACACACAGCUUUGUCUGUUCAUGUAGGUCUGGGUCAGAGAACGACUACUGUUGUCUAAUGUCCUCCUUCAUGUUGGUCUGGCUCAGAGAACGACUACUGUUGUCUAAUGUCCUCCUUCAUGUUGGUCUGGCUCAGAGAACGACUACUGUUGUCUAAUGUCCUCCUUCAUGUUGGUCUGGCUCAGAGAACGACUACUGUUGUCUAAUGUCCUCCUUCAUGUAGGUCUGGCUCAGAGAACGACUACUGUUGUCUAAUGUCCUCCUUCAUGUUGGUCUGGCUCAGAGAACGACUACUGUUGUCUAAUGUCCUGUUUCAUGUAGGUUUGGGUCAGAGAACGACUACUGUUGUCUAAUGUCCUGUUUCAUGUAGGUCUGGCUCAGAGAACGACUACUGUUGUCUAAUGUCCUGUUUCAUGUAGGUCUGGGUCAGAAAACGACUACUGUUGUCUAAUGUCCUGUUUCAUGUAGGUCUGGGUCAGAGAACGACUACUGUUGUCUAAUGUCCUGUUUCAUGUAGGUCUGGGUCAGAGAACGACUACUGUUGUCUAAUGUCCUGUUUCAUGUAGGUCUGGGUCAGAGAACGACUACUGUUGUCUAAUGUCCUGUUUCAUGUAGGUCUGGGUCAGAGAACGACUACUGUUGUCUAAUGUCCUGUUUCAUGUAGGUCUGGGUCAUGUUCAUAUUGGUGCAAAACAGAAGAAAAAAACCAGAGUGAAACAGUGAGGUACUUACCUGUCCAAUAAGAAACGCUCGUGUCAGUUUUUCCCCGUUGUGUUUCCUGAUGAACACAACACUGGUUUUGUUCUGUAGUAAUAUAUGUUGUAUUAAAGGACAAUAACACUGGUUUUGUUCUGUACUAAUAUAUGUUGUAUUAAAGGACAAUAACACUGGUUUUGUUCUGUACUAAUAUAUGUUGUAUUAAAGGACAAUAACACUGGUUUUGUUCUGUACUAAUAUAUGUUGUAUUAAAGGACAAUAACACUGGUUUUGUUCUGUACUAAUAUAUGUUGUAUUAAAGGACAAUAACACUGGUUUUGUUCUGUACUAAUAUAUGUUGUAUUAAAGGACAAUAACACUGGUUUUGUUCUGUACUAAUAUAUGUUGUAUUAAAGGACAAUAACACUG